rnacentral:rRNA from 1 species
UGACGCCUACGGGAGGCAGCAGUGGGGAAUAUUGCACAAUGGGGGAAACCCUGAUGCAGCGACGCCGCGUGAGUGAAGAAGUAUUUCGGUAUGUAAAGCUCUAUCAGCAGGGAAGAUAAUGACGGUACCUGACUAAGAAGCUCCGGCUAAAUACGUGCCAGCAGCCGCGGUAAUACGUAUGGAGCAAGCGUUAUCCGGAUUUACUGGGUGUAAAGGGAGCGUAGACGGCGAUGCAAGUCUGAAGUGAAAGGCGGGGGCCCAACCCCCGGACUGCUUUGGAAACUGUAUGGCUGGAGUGCAGGAGG